AUAGUGCAUCAAGCUAAGCAUCAUGAUUAAGAUAUUCCUCAUUACUUUACUUUGCGCGAUGUUGGUGUUUGCCGAUAAACAAGUCCAGGACUUCCAAAAUGUAAAUGCACCAAGGCAAUCAAACCAAUUUCUCAAUAUGGCUCACUUUAUAAGUAAUGAUCGUGGAAAUAAUUUAGUGCGACGGUCGGCACAGGAAGAAGAAAAUGCAGGAUUUGGAAUGGGAAUGAAUGCAUCUGCAGCAUUUCAAUUUGGAUUUAUUGUAGGAGGAAAAGAAAAAACGAACGAAAACUAGUCAAAUUAGAUCACAAAAAUCAUUGUAUAGAAUGAAUAGAUUGUGUUCGUUAAUUGUUUUUUAAAUGCAAUCCAGUUGUGAAUUAUGAGUCGCCCAGCAUAGUUUAUUAUAUGUAUAUAAUUUUUAUUUAAGAAGCUUAA